rnacentral:lncRNA from 1 species
CUCAAAAUGGCUACUUUCCACAGUCACACAGGCUUUUGAAAUGUAUAUAGACCCAAUUUCUCUGAAACUUUUCUGACACCUCCACUGUCUUCUUUUCCCCCAAAUUUUGGCAAAAUAGGCUGGAAAUCCAAGUUGGCUCUACCAAAAAUGUAAUAUUUGUGGGAUUGAAGAAGUACAGGGGAUAAGGAAGGUUUUGUAACAUGGAAUGGGGGGAUUUGAAGGGAGAGAGGGAAUAUGGCUGCUGGUGAGGUUAAAGAAGAGAGAUACCCCCUGCUGAGAGGCUAUCUUUGAAAAUUGGUUCUUGAGAAAUGGGUCACCUAUGAUAGCCUGAGGAAAUUUCUUCUCUAUUGAUGGAUGUUGAAGAUACCGCAGAGCAGGGGAUACUAGGAGGGGAAGUGGAAGGUCCCACCUAUUUACUUCCAGUCUUGAGCUUGGUGGUUGUAAGCACUGCUGUUCUUCUACAAAGUGAUCCUAUAGAGAUGUCCUCAAUUCUCUCCAAAAUCAAAGAAUGGCAAAUAAUAUUAAUAAAAAUAAUAUCAACAAAAGUUCAAGGACAUCUCUGCUUUGACAUCUUCUGGAAAUACCAAGGAACUUAUUGGAAUAGUCAAGAACAUACUGGAACAAUCAGGAACAUGCAUACAAGAUUUUUACAUGUGCAUGUAAGAUUGAAAUUUUCAUUGUGCAUGGAAUCUUCCUGGCUUGGAAAUCAGUACUAUAUUGGUGCCAUAAAAAGAAUUUGGUAAGUCUCCUACUUUGCUUACUUUGUCAAAUAGUUUGUACAAUUUCGGAGUUAGUUGUUCUUUAAAUGUUUGAUAGAAUUCACUUGUGAAUCCAUCUGACCCUGGGGAUUUUUUCUUAUGGAAUUCCUUGAUGGCUUGUUCAAUUUCUUUUUUCUGAUAUGGGAUUAUUUAAGUAUUCUGUUUCUUCUUUUGUUAAUCUAGGCAAUUUA